rnacentral:lncRNA from 1 species
CUGAGUUUGAAGUACAGAGACAUACAAGAAAUAUAUUUGUGAUAUGAAUCUAAGAAACAACAACAAAAAACAGAGUGAAAAAAUGCCAAUCAGACCUUCAUCUCUUCGACCAAUUACGGAAGCAUCCAAACUGAAGGGAGAGGAAGCAAGAGACAUCUUGCAACCGUUGAGGGGCUAAAGACUGCAGUAAAAGCUGGAGCACGAGCCUGGUAGAUUGCAGGAUUCCCAAUGAACGCCUCACAAAAGAUAGUAGAAGCCCACACAAACCUCACAACCGGAAAGGCAUCAUCCGCAUCGGUACAUAAGCUGAGUCCGAUCAAAAACUGGCGCAUUUAUUGGGGAAGAGACCAACAAACACGCUGCCACUGUUCUAAAGCUGUCCUAGAAAGACAGAACCACUGAUGAGAUGCGGAUGGAAUCUCGAGGUCCACCACGUGCUGCCACAGAAGACUCCAAGCUCAGUCGACUACUCCGAGAAAGAAGCUCCUCACACGUACCUGCUACUGAGAACCAGUAGCUGAAUCCUAAGAGAACAACAACAACUUGGCUACCCAACCACCACACCUCCACGAUAGCCAAUAACCGAGAUACUAAUCCCGUGCAGAGAGCACAGACCGCGCCAGAGCCACCACAAGUGACGGAACAGCAACAGAUCGAAGGAAAACAUACCCAUCGAACACCACACGCCGUCACACUCAGCUGAAACCCUAGAUCCAUCCAAAAUCUGAGACCCACUCUGGUGACUGAAGCAAGCGAGGGAUAAGGAAGACGCAGACCCUCAUGCCUCUCUCACCUCCGCCCUGGUACCGCCGAACAACCAGAAGAAACUUCAGUGACGAAUCAGAAGCUACAAACUCCCACAAAGCCGACCCCCACCACCAGACUCAAGCCUAACCCGACGCCGUAACACCAGAUCUGUCAUCCGUAACCCAACUAUAUCUAGUUUUGUUUUCAACCUCUAGCUUGUAUAUUAGAUGUAAGAAUAUAUCACUUACUUUAGUUGGCUAGACAUCAGCACGAAAAUAUUAUUUUGUAAAUUCUUUUAUUUUAGAUGGGAAUAGUCAAAAAUAGGUUAAAUUAAUUUAAAUAUAUAGUUGACCUAAAAAGGUAAAGGAAAAAAAUAAUUUACCGAAAAACGGUGGACUUCACCACCAUUCAAACUCUCAUAUAAAUAUAAUUUCUUUUUUUAAACUUAUAUAAUUCUAAUUUCCAUUUGCCUAUUCAUUGGUUGCACAAAUGAGUGUAAAGUACAUACUCAUUUAUGUAUACAUAUAUCCCUGUGUCACUAUUGAAAAGUUUUAUUGUACUCAAGUGCUUACCUCAUCUCGUACAGAGCUUGUCCCUGUUUCUGCUAUGGCAUCUUACCGUGUCGGAAAUAUUACAAUCUAAUCUAUUAAAAUAGAGUCCUAUUUUUUAUCUACCAUUGAAAGUUGUCAUUAACUUUUGGGCUUUUUCUAGAGUGUUACAAAAUAAUAUUACAUACACGCUACUUAAUAAUUCAACCAAAAUAUUUUUAAAUCAGACCAACACUGGGUUAUAGAACAAAACCGCUGUUGUAAGUCUUAAAUUAAAUUAUCAAUAAACCAUUGGCUGUCUAAUAUAUUAAAAUAAAUAUACAAUACAAAACUCUUAUCUAUAGAUUACAUCUUACGUACCUAAGUGAAGCAAACCUGGUCGUCUAGACUAUCCUGCUGUCGAAGAAAAGUCUGUACGUAAGAUGUAACAUAACAAAUUCUUCUGUGUUUACUUCUGUUCAGAUCAUUAACUGCAACAUAACAAAUUCAAAUUAAUUCAUAUAUUGUUUAUAUUAAUCUUACUAAACAGUCAAACAUUUGAUACACUUUUUCAUGAUAUCUAUCGUACAUUUGUAUCUGUAAUAUGGCAUAUGAUCUAAAAUCACUUUCUUAUAUUAUAAACACGAUCUGAAAUCACUUUCUUAUAUUAUACACUUUCAGAAACCUGCAAUUAUGAACACAAUAUUGUCCUCCCAUUAUGAACACAAUAUUAUCAAGCAUAUAAGCUUUUAUAAUAUGGAGAUUAGAAACGUUUCACCAUUAUAGAUUAGAUAAGUUUUGUCUUUUGAUUAUCAUACCUAAACGUAGAAAUCAUACACGUAUAUGUAGAGAUAUUAAUAUGUUCAUUUAUAUAUUAGCUUUUAAAUAAAUAGUUGUAUAUGUAUAUGUAUAUCUAAUUAUAUCUAUUUAGAAAACUCUUAAGUUUGAAUGAAUUUCUAUAAUGCCAAAAAAAAAACUUAACUCGGUUACUAUAUUUUCCUUAUUCUCUUAUAUUUGAAAACUGAAUAUAUUGUUAUACGAUUUUCUUCCUUACCAACAAGUUCCCUUUUGUUUUUUGAUCAAACCAACAAGCUCCCUAUUAAUCACAGCUUCCCAUCUACAUUCAUUAGAUUUCAUAUCUUCUAAAGCUGUCCUAGAAAGACAGAACCACUGAUGAGAUGCGGAUGGAAUCUCGAGGUCCACCACGUGCUGCCACAGAAGACUCCAAGCUCAGUCGACUACUCCGAGAAAGAAGCUCCUCACACGUACCUGCUACUGAGAACCAGUAGCUGAAUCCUAAGAGAACAACAACAACUUGGCUACCCAACCACCACACCUCCACGAUAGCCAAUAACCGAGAUACUAAUCCCGUGCAGAGAGCACAGACCGCGCCAGAGCCACCACAAGUGACGGAACAGCAACAGAUCGAAGGAAAACAUACCCAUCGAACACCACACGCCGUCACACUCAGCUGAAACCCUAGAUCCAUCCAAAAUCUGAGACCCACUCUGGUGACUGAAGCAAGCGAGGGAUAAGGAAGACGCAGACCCUCAUGCCUCUCUCACCUCCGCCCUGGUACCGCCGAACAACCAGAAGAAACUUCAGUGACGAAUCAGAAGCUACAAACUCCCACAAAGCCGACCCCCACCACCAGACUCAAGCCUAACCCGACGCCGUAACACCAGAUCUGUCAUCCGUAACCCAACUAUAUCUAGUUUUGUU